rnacentral:rRNA from 1 species
CACGGGGGGAGCAAGCGUUGUUCGGAUUCAUUGGGCGUAAAGAGCUCGUAGGCGGCUCUGUAAGUCGGGGGUGAAAGACCACGGCUCAACCGUGGGAACGCCCUCGAUACUGUGGAGCUUGAGGCCGGGAGAGGAAAGUGGAAUUCCGGGUGUAGCGGUGAAAUGCGUAGAUAUCCGGAGGAACAUCAGUGGCGAAGGCGACUUCCUGGACCAAUACUGACGCUGAGGAGCGAAAGCGUGGGGAGCAAACAGG